UCGUCACACUAUCAUUAACUGAAUCCAUAGGUUAAUGAGGCGAACCGGGGGAACUGAAACAUCUAAGUACCCCGAGGAAAAGAAAUCAACCGAGAUUCCCCCAGUAGCGGCGAGCGAACGGGGAGGAGCCCAGAGCCUGAAUCAGCAUGUGUGUUAGUGGAAGCGUCUGGAAAGGCGCGCGAUACAGGGUGACAGCCCCGUACACAAAAGCGCAUGUGCUGUGAGCUCGAUGAGUAGGGCGGGACACGUGGUAUCCUGUCUGAAUAUGGGGGGACCAUCCUCCAAGGCUAAAUACUCCUGACUGACCGAUAGUGAACCAGUACCGUGAGGGAAAGGCGAAAAGAACCCCGGCGAGGGGAGUGAAAAAGAACCUGAAACCGUGUACGUACAAGCAGUGGGAGCACCCUUUGGGUGUGACUGCGUACCUUUUGUAUAAUGGGUCAGCGACUUAUAUUCUGUAGCAAGGUUAACCGAAUAGGGGAGCCGGAGGGAAACCGAGUCUUAAUUGGGCGUUAAGUUGCAGGGUAUAGACCCGAAACCCGGUGAUCUAGCCAUGGGCAGGUUGAAGGUUGGGUAACACUAACUGGAGGACCGAACCGACUAAUGUUGAAAAAUUAGCGGAUGACCUGUGGCUGGGGGUGAAAGGCCAAUCAAACCGGGAGAUAGCUGGUUCUCCCCGAAAGCUAUUUAGGUAGCGCCUCGUGAAUUCAUCUCCGGGGGUAGAGCACUGUUUCGGCUAGGGGGCCAUCCCGGCUUACCAACCCGAUGCAAACUGCGAAUACCGGAGAAUGUUAUCACGGGAGACACACGGCGGGUGCUAACGUCCGUCGUGAAGAGGGAAACAACCCAGACCGCCAGCUAAGGUCCCAAAGUCAUGGUUAAGUGGGAAACGAUGUGGGAAGGCCCAGACAGCCAGGAUGUUGGCUUAGAAGCAGCCAUCAUUUAAAGAAAGCGUAAUAGCUCACUGGUCGAGUCGGCCUGCGCGGAAGAUGUAACGGGGCUAAACCAUGCACCGAAGCUGCGGCAGCGAACGUAUCACUUAAAGCGAUUCAGCGGGUUACGAUUGACGGAGCGAAGCGACGUCAAAGCGUAUACAAAGUCGAGUCGGUUUAAGGAUACGUUCGUUGGGUAGGGGAGCGUUCUGUAAGCCUG
rnacentral:rRNA from 2 species